rnacentral:rRNA from 1 species
ACGAAGGAUGCAAGCGUUAUCCGGAUUCAUUGGGUUUCAAGGUCGCGUAGGUGGCCUUAUAAUUCAGUUGUGAAAUCUCUGGGCUUAACCCAGAAAUUGCCAUUGAUACUGUAGGGCUUGAGUAUAGUUGCCGUUGGCGGAAUAUGACAUGUAGUGGUGAAAUACAUAGAGAUGUCAUAGAACACCGAUUGCGAAGGCAGCUGACGAAACUAUAACUGACACUGAGGCUCGAAAGUGCGGGGAUCAAACAGG